GACGAACGCUGGCGGCGUGCCUAACACAUGCAAGUCGAACGAGGUCCAUCCUUCGGGAGAAGACCUAGUGGCGAACGGGUGAGUAACACGUGAAGAACCUGCCCCGAAGACCGGGAUAACCCUCCGAAAGGAGAGCCAAUACCGGAUACCCCCACCGAACCGCAUGGUUUGGUGAGGAAAUGGAUUCCGCUUCGGGAGGGCUUCGCGGCCUAUCAGCUAGUUGGUGGGGUAACGGCCCACCAAGGCAUCGACGGGUAGCUGGUCUGAGAGGACGAUCAGCCACACUGGGACUGAGACACGGCCCAGACUCCUACGGGAGGCAGCAGUGGGGAAUCUUGCGCAAUGGGCGAAAGCCUGACGCAGCAACGCCGCGUGGGGGAUGAAGGCUCUCGGGUUGGUAAACCCCCUUUCAGCAGGGACGAAUCAAGACGGUACCUGCAGAAGAAGACCCCGGCUAACUACGUGCCAGCAGCCG
rnacentral:rRNA from 1 species